UACGGAGGGUGCAAGCGUUAUCCGGAUUCACUGGGUUUAAAGGGUGCGUAGGAGGGUAGGUAAGUCAGUGGUGAAAUCUCCGGGCUCAACUCGGAAACUGCCGUUGAUACUAUCUGUCUUGAAUGCCGUGGAGGUGAGCGGAAUAUGUCAUGUAGCGGUGAAAUGCUUAGAUAUGACAUAGGACACCAAUUGCGAAGGCAGCUCACUACACGAACAUUGACUCUGAGGCACGAAAGCGUGGGGAUCAAACAGG
rnacentral:rRNA from 1 species